UACGAAGGGGGCUGGCGUUGUUCGGAAUUACUGGGCGUAAAGCGCACGUAGGCGGAUCGAUCAGUCAGGGGUGAAAUCCCAGAGCUCAACUCUGGAACUGCCUUUGAUACUGUCGGUCUAGAGUAUGGAAGAGGUGAGUGGAAUUCCGAGUGUAGAGGUGAAAUUCGUAGAUAUUCGGAGGAACACCAGUGGCGAAGGCGGCUCACUGGUCCAUUACUGGACGCGUG
rnacentral:rRNA from 1 species